ACAGGGGGGGGGAGAGAGAGAGAGAGUCUGUAGGGUUUCGAAUGGGUUGGGUGGGUUAGAGACUUUCAUUUCCUGCUUUCUAAAGCUGCAGUGGGACUCGGUGAGCCCAUGCCGUCGGGAGAGUGAGAGCGAGCGAGCAGAGAGAGAAGAGAGACAGGGAGGGAGAGAGAUAGGGAUUUGGUGAGAGGAAGGCAUGCGGCUUGCAGGCAGACAGAGUCACAGGGGGUGUACGAUUGGAGGGAGAGGGAGAGGGCGCGAAAGAGAGAGUGGGAGAGGGAGGAGUAAGGAUCGCUCGCUGAGGGUUUCACAGUUGGGAGGCCAUGCUGAUGGAGAUGGAGAUAGAGAUAGGAGAGGGAGAGGGAGAGAGGGAGACGGAGACAGAGAGCGACAGAGAGAGAAGGAAAGGGAAGAGUGGGGAUCUCAGCGCCAUUGCUGCAGAUCCUUGAUCUUCUUCGAUCCCAUCUCCGUGUUCUUCUCAGCCUCUCACAGUCGCAGCAUCACUCGCCCACUCACUCACUCACUUACUCACUACAGAGGGGAGCAUUUACAUGUGGAGGCAACAAGGAGGGGUGGCUUUGAGAAGAUAGUUUCAGAGAAGAAAUGGAGGGAAGUGGGAGGUGUUUUCAUGUUCUCCCAACACAACAAGUGCUUCAUUUGUGCUAAGGAAACACUACUCAACCCUUCUCUGCCUUUACGAGCAGGCUGAUGCUGAUGGCAACGGAACCGACCAUGAUGAGUUCAUCGCAGCAACAAUGCACUCGAACUGGAUGGAUAAACAUCUCUACACUACCUUCCAACACUUCGAUAAAAGGAGAGAUGUGGUUCUGAUAUAAAGGAGAAGCUGCAAGAGCUUAUGAUCUUGCUGCACUUAAGUACAACCGUUCUUUAACUCAUAUAAACUUUCCGUUACACCCCUGUGCUCUCAUAGAGGGAAGCUCAUGGCUCACAGUGUCGCUUGGGCCAAUCUCGGCCUCACUCACCCUUCUGACAUCGAUGCCCCAAAGGAACUCUGGUUGUGGGAGGAAGAAGCCAGUUCCUUACUAUUUUUAGGUAAACUUAUAUGUGCCCUGAUUGCAUGUUCAAAGUCUAAUUAGUUAUAUAAAUUUUUUAUUUAUCUUUGCUAAGCUUUCGUACAUGGAUUUUAAAUAUGUGAUUGAAAUAUGGAUCAUAUUUUUGAAACUCUUUAUCUCAUUGUUUUUUGAGUAAUUUUUUGGAAGUGAGGUUGAAUACCAAUUGGUGGUCUCUGUCUGAGAUUUAGUUCUUUUUAAACACUCCUCAUAGGCCAUUAUGAUUGAUAGUUUAAUACGAUAGCAGAAAUGCAAAUUUGUGCUCCUUUAGUUUAUGUCUAUUAAGUCGCUUUUGGAAUUAACAAUUACCAUGCAUCCAAUUCUAGGACUUUAUAUUUACAUGUAGGGAGUCGGGUUUUUUGAUACAGAAUGUAAGUGACCCCACUUCACGUACUCUGAAAGUAUCUAAGCUUGGUAAUGAAUUUGACGGGCAUGUCUGAUGCCUUCUCAAACAUGAAUAGCCUGUGGGGUUUAAGAUUGAUAUCAAUUCCAAAUUAUGGAAUUGAUAUCAAAGGCAAAUUGUAAAAUUGAUAUCAAAGCCAAUAGUAAGUUUUUGGGGGCUUCUUGGUAUGAUAGUUAUGUCUGUUCUGUGUUUGUUUUCUUUCCGUCUGUUCUUAGAGCGUACUCCUUAUCCUUUGAUAUGUAAUUUGUGUUGGCUUAAAUGAAAGGUUUGUCUCUUCUCAAAAAUGAUGAAUCCGACAUGUUACUUUGUGGUCUUCUGAUUGCUCUUCUAUUUAAUAUCUUUUAAAUCCCACUGUGUGUUCAAAGUGCUGGAUGGGUUGUGCUUUUACCAACCCUAAUAAAAUUUUGUUUGAAUCAUGCUGUCUGAUAACUCUGUUUUUCUUUUCCUGUUUGUGGUUUUUAGUCUUUGUCAUUUAAUUGGUGUAGCUUUGCUAGGAUCUCUGUUCCGGCAGUGUGUGAUUAGUGCUAAUGGAAUUUCAGCACUGUUUCUGAACUAUUGUUCGAAUUGUUGUAUCUAAGUAUGCAUUAUACAUUCAAUUGAGCCAAUGAAGCAUGUGUGCCAACGAAUUUUGAAGAGUUCGGCUUGGUUUUCUCUCUUUGGUCUUUAAUAUUUAAGUGUGAGGCACCUGAUUGUUGACUAAUUGAGUCCCUUCUCUAAGUUUUUUAGUAGAUACUGUGUAAUUUGCUUUUAUGAGCACUUCUUUAUGCUGUCAAGUUCCCAAAAUGUACAAGGAGAUAUCAAGUUUAACAAGUCACGAACUGUGAUCAAUCCAAAUGCAGUGAAAUUAGGGAUUUUACACUUAAAAACUCAGUUAGCUUUAGACCAUAGGAUUAGCAUUUUGCACCUGUGAGUAUCAUUGACCUGCUCAUUUAAUUUUUUUGGAUAAGAAAUAAACUGUCAUUGAAGGGAGAAGAAAGUGUACAAAAUAAUGUUUCUGUAAGCUUGCACUCAUAUGCCUAAUAUUUUAAUUUCUUUUCUUGGCAUUACCUGUUGAAAUGGCUGCCUACACUACAAGACACAUAUUAUGUGUGAACUACAUGUUUUUUCUGUUUCUUAAGGAAAUAUAACUUUUUUGGAAACCAUAUCUUUCUAAUCAAAGACGUUCAGUUUCUUGCCACUCAUUGUACAAUGUGUUUAUAUGCCAGCUCACUUGAAUGUGUAUAAAAGCAAAACUGUUUUAUCUUAUU